UACGGGGGAUGCAAGCGUUAUCCGGAAUCAUUGGGCGUAAAGCGCCUGUAGGUUGUUUAAUAAGUCUGUUGUUAAAGACUAGGGCUCAACCCUAGAAGAGCAAUGGAAACUACUAAACUAGAGUAUGGCAGGGGUAGAGGGAAUUUCUAGUGUAGCGGUGAAAUGCGUAGAUAUUAGAAAGAACACCAGUGGCGAAAGCGCUCUACUGGACCAUUACUGACACUCAGAGGCGAAAGCUAGGGUAGCAAAAGGGAUUAGAUACCCCUGUAGUCCUAGCCGUAAACGAUGGAUACUAGAUGUUGUACAAAUUGUGCAGUAUCGUAGCUAACGCGUUAAGUAUCCCGCCUGGGGAGUACGCUCGCAAGGGUG
rnacentral:rRNA from 1 species